ACCCCUGUAACUCAGUGGAUAGAGUAGCAGACUUCUAAUCUGUUAGUCGUUGGUUCGAAUCCAAUCAGGGGUG
rnacentral:tRNA from 1 species